UCCCCGGUGUGGUGCUGGCCGGCGUUGUGCCGUGCUACAUCGUUGACUGCAUCUUCCUCCACCUAUCGGCCUAAUGUGGUUGCACAGGUCAGCAAAUCCUUGGCCUGCAGAUGGUAUCCAUGGAUGCGGCUUGCUCUCCACACGGGGGGCAGCCGUGGGCGGGUUGUAAGGGCCCCCUUGUUCCGCUGUCAGCAUUGAUGGGUGCUGUCUGUCGAGUUGGCGAGCUCCAUGGCUUUGCUGUGGCGGCCAUGGAUGUGGUUCCUCUCACCCGGGAGGGCCGUGGCUUGGGGGUUGGCCAUCUUCCCUUUUCUUCAUCAGUGUUCUUAUUUUUCGUGCUCAGGUACCCCCUCAUGUGUCUCUGUUGUGGCGAUGCCUAUGCGACUACACUGGUGGCACACAGGUGUUGUGGCGUCGUCUCGGCUCAUGUAACCUUUCGAUUGCGCCCCACGACACAGGUGGUGUCGCGGCGUUGGGCAGUCUCGGAUGCGCGGCGCCUUUCGAUUACGUCGACGGUGCAGUGUCUUGGUUUGGUCUACUAGGUGAUGCUCUUUGGCCUUGUCGGUGGCACACAGGUGCCGUGGUGUCGUCUCGGCUCGUGUGUCCUUUCGAUUGCACCCCACGACAUAGGUGGUGUCGCGGCGUUGUGUACUCUUGGAUGUGAGGCGCCUUUUGAUUGCAUUGAUGGUUGGUCUCGGCUGGCCAAUGGCGUUCGACUACUUUGGCGGUGCUCUUAUUGUGUAGUCUGUUCUUUCCCUGUUUGUUUCUCUCCUGUAUUGUGUGUGUCUUUUUUUAUCUCUUCUUACGUGCCCCCUUGUAUUUCUGGUUCACUUGAACCUAUCUUGUAAUAGGCUGCAAAGCCUUAUAGGCAAUAUGAAUACAAUUCAGAUGGGGAAAUCUCCCCCGGGUGAAAAUUCAAAAAAAAGUGGGCCUAGGUCCUCAUCGCCGAGCAAG
rnacentral:lncRNA from 1 species